AUUUAUUUCAGAACACUCUCCCCAUUCCUCUCUCUGAUGAAGGGCCUAGGCCUGAGACAUCAGCUUUUGAGCUCCUAAGAUGCUGCUCGGCCUGCUGUGUGCAUUCAGCUCCAAACUUUGUUAUCGAACAAAUGUGAGACAUUCCAUUGGUGGCCGAUCUGUUGUUGCAGCUGCCACGAGUGAGAUUCAGGACAGUGUACAGUUAGUUCUUCGAGAACGUGUGAUCACAGAAUUCUGAAACACGCCCCAAGGAAGGACAAGGGAAAUUGUUGGAAUGUGGGAGCUCAUGGACAACGUGGAAUUGUAGGGGCUGGAGGAAGCAAGAGUGAUAAGGGAGGGUUCAGGUAGGGGAAGCUGAUGAUUGCGUACAUUUGUGGGCGUACCAGCCACUGCCCUCUACUGGUGGGAAACCAUCACUAGUAGAUAUCCAAACAGACAAGAGGCUGUCUGAUGAGAUUGAGUUCUUCUAGGAGAGCCUCAGAACAUGGCUGCAUCUCCCUCUCCUCAUGGCUCUAUGAUGUUUGAAAAGAAAUUCCCUGCGUGUUUCAUGCCAUUUCAUCCAGACCACUGAACUGUGCCUGUCUCGCAGCUGUCCCUGAACACAAACGGACCCGAGUUGUUGAAGAAGGCAGCUCACCAACUUCCAGGCCAAUUAGUAAUUGGAGAAUAAAUGCUAGUUCUGCAUUUAAUGCUGAUGCAGGAUUAAUGCUUCAACACAACCAGGUAAUGCACCCUUCACACAAAACACAUCCAGCCAGAAAAGGCUCAAUGCGAUGCUCAUGGAAUCUGGGUCUGUAAAGCCACCUCCCCUGACCCACCCAUCUCCCCCAACACCUUCAACCCCGGACUCCAGAACAGCUCUGCUCGCUAAAUGGCAUCUGAAAAUUUGAACAGCAUCUCGAACAUGGCAAGCUGCCCUUGGAAUGCCCCCAUGCCCAAGCGCUGGUCUCUUUGACUGUAACUGCUUCGUACGACAUGUAAUAAAAUAGUCUUGCAAUGUU